CCUACGGGCGGCAGCAGUGGGGAAUAUUGGACAAUGGGCGAAAGCCUGAUCCAGCCAUGCCGCGUGUGUGAAGAAGGCCUUCGGGUUGUAAAGCACUUUCAGUGGGGAAGAAAGCCUUGGGGCUAAUACCCUCGAGGAAGGACAUCACCCACAGAAGAAGCACCGGCUAACUCCGUGCCAGCAGCCGCGGUAAUACGGAGGGUGCGAGCGUUAAUCGGAAUUACUGGGCGUAAAGCGCGCGUAGGCGGUCUGAUAAGCCGGUUGUGAAAGCCCCGGGCUCAACCUGGGAACGGCAUCCGGAACUGUCAGGAUAGAGUGCAGGAGAGGAAGGUAGAAUUCCCGGUGUAGCGGUGAAAUGCGUAGAGAUCGGGAGGAAUACCAGUGGCGAAGGCGGCCUUCUGGACUGACACUGACGCUGAGGUGCGAAAGCGUGGGUAGCAAACAGGAUUAGAUACCCUGGUAGUC
rnacentral:rRNA from 1 species